GCCUGGUAAGGUGGCUAACACCUGUAAUCUCAGCACUUUGGGAGGCCAAGGCAGGUGGAUCGCUUGAGUUCAGGAGUUUGAUACCAGCCUGGGCAACAUGGCGAAACCCCGUCUCUACUAAAAAUACAAAAAUUAGCCAGAAUUUGGCCCCCCGGGCUAAUUUUUUUGUAUUUUUAGUAGAGACGGGGUUUCGCCAUGUUGCCCAGGCUGGUAUCAAACUCCUGAACUCAAGCGAUCCACCUGCCUU
rnacentral:SRP_RNA from 1 species